GACCGCCUGCAUUUCUGACUACAG
rnacentral:siRNA from 1 species